rnacentral:rRNA from 1 species
GAGUUUGAUCCAUGGCUCAGGACGAACGCUGGCGGCGUGCCUAAUACAUGCAAGUCGAGCGGACAGAUGGGAGCUUGCUCCCUGAAGUCAGCGGCGGACGGGUGAGUAACACGUGGGCAACCUGCCUGUAAGACUGGGAUAACUCCGGGAAACCGGGGCUAAUACCGGAUAAUUCUUUCCCUCACAUGAGGGAAAGCUGAAAGAUGGUUUCGGCUAUCACUUACAGAUGGGCCCGCGGCGCAUUAGCUAGUUGGUGAGGUAACGGCUCACCAAGGCAACGAUGCGUAGCCGACCUGAGAGGGUGAUCGGCCACACUGGGACUGAGACACGGCCCAGACUCCUACGGGAGGCAGCAGUAGGGAAUCUUCCGCAAUGGACGAAAGUCUGACGGAGCAACGCCGCGUGAGUGAUGAAGGUUUUCGGAUCGUAAAACUCUGUUGUUAGGGAAGAACAAGUACCGGAGU